AUGAAUGUUGAUAAAAGGGUUGCCAAGGGGUUUGCUAAUUGGUUUAAGAAUCAUAUUGGAAAGUUGCAUGAGGAGAAGAAGGUCAGUGAUGAUCUAUUUGCUUUGGCAUGCUUACCGGAUAAGCGAGUGAGAGUGUAUUCAGCAUGCAUUGCUGACGGUGUCCGGUACCACACUGUUGACCGCGAGGAAAAAAGGAAGAGACGGAAUAGUGGAAUCAUCACUGAGGGGUCACAUGAUCGUGAGAUCAUUGACUUCUAUGGUCAGUUGAGAAGCAUCAUAGAGUUGCAGUACAACUCUAGUGGAGGCAUCCAUCGCUCGGUUGUCUUAUUUCGCUGUGGCUGGUUUGAGCUUGGUAGCAAGAAGAAGAGAGACUCCUUUGUCAAAUAUGAUGGCCACUUCAAAAGCAUCAACACUGGAAGGUGCUGGUAUAAGAGUGAUCCCUUUAUUCUAACAACACAAGCAACAAUGGUGUUUUAUCUGCCAGGCACUCUUUUGCACGGAAAAUGGCGAGUUGUGCAAAACUUUGAGCACAGACACUUGUGGAGUGUGACUGAAACUGAAGUGGAAAAGGGCCCCGGUGAUGGUGGACUAACAUACCAAGAUGAUGACUCUACGGAAGUUCCGUUGUAA
rnacentral:rRNA from 1 species